rnacentral:rRNA from 1 species
UACGUAGGGCGCAAGCGUUAUCCGGAAUUAUUGGGCGUAAAGAGCUCGUAGGCGGUUUGUCGCGUCUGCCGUUAAAGUCCGGGGCUCAACUCCGGAUCUGCGGUGGGUACGGGCAGACUAGAGUGAUGUAGGGGAGACUGGAAUUCCUGGUGUAGCGGUGAAAUGCGCAGAUAUCAGGAGGAACACCGAUGGCGAAGGCAGGUCUCUGGGCAUUAACUGACGCUGAGGAGCGAAAGUAUGGGGAGCGAACAGG